rnacentral:ncRNA from 1 species
AUAGGGUUAGAAGAAUGAGUGAGUUUGCUAGAGCUGCUUUUCCAGGCGACGUUUGCAAUUGCAGAAUGGAAUUGUAUGAAUGAUGAUGGAUGGUAGAUGUGAGAAUGUGGGGGUACGAAUGUGGGGGUGUUUCUGAAUGGUAAUUUUUGUUGAACAUUGUGUUGUGAUGGGGCUACCAACCCUUAACUGUUUUGGAGUUUAAAUUGGAAGUGCCCUUCUGGUACGAGGCCUGACCGGAGGCUUUUAAUCUGGUACCACGGGUAACCAGGAGCCCACGGAACUGUUCCGUCCUGGUUAGUUGGUGCGGCCCUUCGGGGAGUAUCGUGGUGGUUGUGGUUUAACACCCAAAUGCGGGUAGAGCAUCGCUCGACGUGGAGUUGCGUUAUACAACCGGGUUCCGUGACCCAGAUUACGGAAGAGGCUUAGAUAGUCCUCGUGCCAAACCAAGGUAGAAGUCACAACCAAACAGUCGUGUCUUUAAUUGGUACCUGCGGAAUUGUUCCAAGGGGGCGGUGAUUGACGCUUGAAUUAAUCCUAUACUAGGAACCGUGAGAUUAAGCCAUCGCGGCAGGUGCUCACGUUAAGCCCACUGACUUUCAUGUCCCUAUCUACUAUCUAGCGAAACCACAGCCAAGGGAACGGGCUUGGAAUAAUUAGCGGGGAAAGAAGACCCUUUUGAGCUUGACUCUAAUCUGGCAGUGUAAGGAGACAUAAGAGGUGUAGAAUAAGUGGGAGAUAUUAGACUUCGGUUUGGUAUCGACAAUGAAAUACCACUACUCUUAUUGUUUCCUUACUUACUUGAUUAAAUGGAACGUGUAUCAUUUCCUAGCCAUUAUACGGAUAUAAUUAUUAUGUCUUAUGGUAUUGGGUUUUGAUGCAAGCUUCUUGAUCAAAGUAUCACGAGUUUGUUAUAUAAUCGCAAACAAAUUCUUUAAUGAGAGAAUGCAUUUAUGUAUUAUUGAUUUAAAAAUUUGGUAUAACUCCAAUUACUCAGGUAUGAUCCAAUUCAAGGACAUUGCCAGGUAGGGAGUUUGACUGGGGCGGUACAUCUCUCAAAUAAUAACGGAGGUGUCCCAAGGCCA